rnacentral:rRNA from 1 species
GAUAAACGCUGACAGAAUGCUUAACACAUGCAAGUCGAUGAUGGGAAGCUAAGCCUAGCUUAGAAGAAGUCAUGGCGGACGGGUGAGUAACGUGUAAAGAACUUGCCCUCUAGACUGGGAUAACAGAUAGAAAUGUCUGAUAAUACCGGAUAUUAUUGUUACAUGGCAUCAUGUAGGAAUGAAAGGAUAAGAUUGCUAGAGGAGAGCUUUGCAUCCUAUUAGCUAGUUGGUAAGGUAGCGGCUUACCAAGGCGAUGAUAGGUAGCCGGCCUGAGAGGGUGGACGGCCACAAGGGGACUGAGAUACGGCCUU